GGGGUUGUGGCUCAGAGGUAGAGUGUUCGCCUAGCAUGUGUGAGGCCCUGAGUUCGAUCCUCAGCACCA
rnacentral:tRNA from 1 species